UACUUAUGAGAAUUGCGGCCAAAUCCCAAAAGGCAUGAAGUGGCUCCUCAUGACCUUCUAAAUUCUUUUCACAGGGACUUGAAAGGUAGCUCCUUGCACAGCAGAGCUUUUCUGCCGGGUGGAGAGAGAGGACUGGUUUAUUCGCCUGGAGCUCUCUCUGAGCCUUAGUAUCCAGCAAGCAUGCAUCCGACACUCCUGGGCUUUGGUCGGGCCUUGUCAGCAGGGCUCCUGGGCCUGUA
rnacentral:lncRNA from 1 species